rnacentral:rRNA from 1 species
UAAGGAAUAUUGGUCAAUGGGCGGAAGCCUGAACCAGCCAUGCCGCGUGCAGGAUGACUGCCCUAUGGGUUGUAAACUGCUUUUGUCCAGGAAUAAACCUUUCUACGUGUAGGAAGCUGAAUGUACUGGAAGAAUAAGGAUCGGCUAACUCCGUGCCAGCAGCCGCGGUAAUACGGAGGAUCCGAGCGUUAUCCGGAUUUAUUGGGUUUAAAGGGUGCGUAGGCGGCCUAUUAAGUCAGGGGUGAAAUACGGUGGCUCAACCAUCGCAGUGCCUUUGAUACUGAUGGGCUUGAAUCCAUUUGAAGGUGGGCGGAAUAAGACAAGUAGCGGUGAAAUGCAUAGAUAUGUCUUAGAACUCCGAUUGCGAAGGCAGCUCACUAAGCUGGUAUUGACGCUGAUGCACGAAAGCGUGGGGAUCGAACAGGAUUAGAUACCCUGGUAGUCCACGCCCUAAACGAUGAUAACUCGAUGUUGGCGAUAGACAGCCAGCGUCCAAGCGAAAGCGUUAAGUUAUCCACCUGGGGAGUACGCCCGCAAGGGUGAAACUUAAAGGAAUUGACGGGGUCAUAGCUGUUUCC